rnacentral:vault_RNA from 1 species
GCGCCGGCUUAGCUCAGCGGUUACUUCUUGAACAAACCUUUCCCCUACCCGGGGUUUCGAACCACGGGCGCUGUCCGGCGUUUUU